rnacentral:rRNA from 1 species
UUAAGCGACUAAGCGUACACGGUGGAUGCCCUGGCAGUCAGAGGCGAUGAAGGACGUGCUAAUCUGCGAUAAGCGUCGGUAAGGUGAUAUGAACCGUUAUAACCGGCGAUUUCCGAAUGGGGAAACCCAGUGUGAUUCGUCACACUAUCAUUAACUGAAUCCAUAGGUUAAUGAGGCGAACCGGGGGAACUGAAACAUCUAAGUACCCCGAGGAAAAGAAAUCAACCGAGAUUCCCCCAGUAGCGGCGAGCGAACGGGGAGGAGCCCAGAGCCUGAAUCAGUGUGUGUGUUAGUGGAAGCGUCUGGAAAGGCGCGCGAUACAGGGUGACAGCCCCGUACACAAAAAUGCACAUGCUGUGAGCUCGAUGAGUAGGGCGGGACACGUGGUAUCCUGUCUGAAUAUGGGGGGACCAUCCUCCAAGGCUAAAUACUCCUGACUGACCGAUAGUGAACCAGUACCGUGAGGGAAAGGCGAAAAGAACCCCGGCGAGGGGAGUGAAAAAGAACCUGAAACCGUGUACGUACAAGCAGUGGGAGCACGCUUAGGCGUGUGACUGCGUACCUUUUGUAUAAUGGGUCAGCGACUUAUAUUCUGUAGCAAGGUUAACCGAAUAGGGGAGCCGAAGGGAAACCGAGUCUUAACUGGGCGUUAAGUUGCAGGGUAUAGACCCGAAACCCGGUGAUCUAGCCAUGGGCAGGUUGAAGGUUGGGUAACACUAACUGGAGGACCGAACCGACUAAUGUUGAAAAAUUAGCGGAUGACUUGUGGCUGGGGGUGAAAGGCCAAUCAAACCGGGAGAUAGCUGGUUCUCCCCGAAAGCUAUUUAGGUAGCGCCUCGUGAAUUCAUCUCCGGGGGUAGAGCACUGUUUCGGCAAGGGGUCAUCCCGACUUACCAACCCGAUGCAAACUGCGAAUACCGGAGAAUGUUAUCACGGGAGACACACGGCGGGUGCUAACGUCCGUCGUGAAGAGGGAAACAACCCAGACCGCCAGCUAAGGUCCCAAAGUCAUGGUUAAGUGGGAAACGAUGUGGGAAGGCCCAGACAGCCAGGAUGUUGGCUUAGAAGCAGCCAUCAUUUAAAGAAAGCGUAAUAGCUCACUGGUCGAGUCGGCCUGCGCGGAAGAUGUAACGGGGCUAAACCAUGCACCGAAGCUGCGGCAGCGACGCUGAUGCGUUGUUGGGUAGGGGAGCGUUCUGUAAGCCUGCGAAGGUGUGCUGUGAGGCAUGCUGGAGGUAUCAGAAGUGCGAAUGCUGACAUAAGUAACGAUAAAGCGGGUGAAAAGCCCGCUCGCCGGAAGACCAAGGGUUCCUGUCCAACGUUAAUCGGGGCAGGGUGAGUCGACCCCCUAAGGCGAGGCCGAAAGGCGUAGUCGAUGGGAAACAGGUUAAUAUUCCUGUACUUGGUGUUACUGCGAAGGAAGGGGGGACGGAGAAGGCUAUGUUGGCCGGGCGACGGUUGUCCCGGUUUAAGCGUGUAGGCUGGUUUUCUAGGCAAAUCCGGAAAAUCAAGGCUGAGGCGUGAUGACGAGGCACUACGGUGCUGAAGCAACAAAUGCCCUGCUUCCAGGAAAAGCCUCUAAGCAUCAGGUAACAUCAAAUCGUACCCCAAACCGACACAGGUGGUCAGGUAGAGAAUACCAAGGCGCUUGAGAGAACUCGGGUGAAGGAACUAGGCAAAAUGGUGCCGUAACUUCGGGAGAAGGCACGCUGAUAUGUAGGUGAAGCGACUUGCUCGUGGAGCUGAAAUCAGUCGAAGAUACCAGCUGGCUGCAACUGUUUAUUAAAAACACAGCACUGUGCAAACACGAAAGUGGACGUAUACGGUGUGACGCCUGCCCGGUGCCGGAAGGUUAAUUGAUGGGGUUAGCGCAAGCGAAGCUCUUGAUCGAAGCCCCGGUAAACGGCGGCCGUAACUAUAACGGUCCUAAGGUAGCGAAAUUCCUUGUCGGGUAAGUUCCGACCUGCACGAAUGGCGUAAUGAUGGCGAGGCUGUCUCCACCCGAGACUCAGUGAAAUUGAACUCGCUGUGAAGAUGCAGUGUACCCGCGGCAAGACGGAAAGACCCCGUGAACCUUUACUAUAGCUUGACACUGAACAUUGAGCCUUGAUGUGUAGGAUAGGUGGGAGGCUUUGAAGUGUGGACGCCAGUCUGCAUGGAGCCGACCUUGAAAUACCACCCUUUAAUGUUUGAUGUUCUAACGUGGACCCGUAAUCCGGGUUGCGGACAGUGUCUGGUGGGUAGUUUGACUGGGGCGGUCUCCUCCUAAAGAGUAACGGAGGAGCACGAAGGUUGGCUAAUCCGGUCGGACAUCAGGAGGUUAGUGCAAUGGCAUAAGCCAGCUUGACUGCGAGCGUGACGGCGCGAGCAGGUGCGAAAGCAGGUCAUAGUGAUCCGGUGGUUCUGAAUGGAAGGGCCAUCGCUCAACGGAUAAAAGGUACUCCGGGGAUAACAGGCUGAUACCGCCCAAGAGUUCAUAUCGACGGCGGUGUUUGGCACCUCGAUGUCGGCUCAUCACAUCCACGGGGCUGAAGUAGGUCCCAAGGGUAUGGCUGUUCGCCAUUUAAAGUGGUACGCGAGCUGGGUUUAGAACGUCGUGAGACAGUUCGGUCCCUAUCUGCCGUGGGCGCUGGAGAACUGAGGGGGGCUGCUCCUAGUACGAGAGGACCGGAGUGGACGCAUCACUGGUGUUCGGGUUGUCAUGCCAAUGGCACUGCCCGGUAGCUAAAUGCGGAAGAGAUAAGUGCUGAAAGCAUCUAAGCACGAAACUUGCCCCGAGAUGAGUUCUCCCUGACUCCUUGAGAGUCCUGAAGGAACGUUGAAGACGACGACGUUGAUAGGCCGGGUGUGUAAGCGCAGCGAUGCGUUGAGCUAACCGGUACUAAUGAACCGUGAGGCUUAACCU